CCUACGGGAGGCAGCAGUGAGGAAUAUUGGUCAAUGGCCGAGAGGCUGAACCAGCCAAGUCGCGUGAGGGAAGACGGCCCUACGGGUUGUAAACCUCUUUUGUCGGGGAGUAAAGCGAGUCACGUGUGACUCAUUGUGAGUACCCGAUGAAUAAGCAUCGGCUAACUCCGUGCCAGCAGCCGCGGUAAUACGGAGGAUGCGAGCGUUAUCCGGAUUUAUUGGGUUUAAAGGGUGCGCAGGCGGUGGUGAAAGUCAGCGGUAAAAUUUCGGGGCUCAACCCAGUACUGCCGUUGAAACUGGAUCCCUUGAGUGCGCGAGAGGUAUGCGGAAUGCGUGGUGUAGCGGUGAAAUGCAUAGAUAUCACGCAGAACUCCGAUUGCGAAGGCAGCAUACCGGCGCGCAACUGACGCUCAGGCACGAAGGCGAGGGUAUCGAACAGGAUUAGAUACCCGUGUAGUC
rnacentral:rRNA from 1 species